CCUACGGGGGGCAGCAGUGGGGAAUAUUGGACAAUGGGGGGAACCCUGAUCCAGCCAUGCCGCGUGUGUGAAGAAGGCCCUCGGGUUGUAAAGCACUUUCAGUGAGGAAGAACGCCUGGUGGUUAAUACCCAUCAGGAAAGGCAUCACUCACAGAAGAAGCACCGGCUAACUCCGUGCCAGCAGCCGCGGUAAUACGGAGGGUGCGAGCGUUAAUCGGAAUUACUGGGCGUAAAGCGCGCGUAGGUGGCUUGAUAAGCCGGUUGUGAAAGCCCCGGGCUCAACCUGGGAACGGCAUCCGGAACUGUCAAGCUAGAGUGCAGGAGAGGAAGGUAGAAUUCCCGGUGUAGCGGUGAAAUGCGUAGAGAUCGGGAGGAAUACCAGUGGCGAAGGCGGCCUUCUGGACUGACACUGACACUGAGGUGCGAAAGCGUGGGUAGCAAACAGGAUUAGAUACCCGUGUAGUC
rnacentral:rRNA from 1 species